AACGAACGCUGGCGGCAUGCCUAACACAUGCAAGUCGAACGAGACCUUCGGGUCUAGUGGCGCACGGGUGCGUAACGCGUGGGAACCUGCCCUUAGGUUCGGAAUAACUCCCCGAAAGGGGUGCUAAUACCGGAUAAUGUCUUCGGACCAAAGAUUUAUCGCCUUUGGAUGGGCCCGCGUUGGAUUAGCUAGUUGGUAGGGUAAAAGCCUACCAAGGCGACGAUCCAUAGCUGGUCUGAGAGGAUGAUCAGCCACACUGGGACUGAGACACGGCCCAGACUCCUACGGGAGGCAGCAGUGGGGAAUAUUGGACAAUGGGCGAAAGCCUGAUCAAGCAAUGCCGCGUGAGUGAUGAAGGCCUUAGGGUUGUAAAGCUCUUUUAACCGGGAUGAUAAUGACAGUACCGGGAGAAUAAGCUCCGGCUAACUCCGUG
rnacentral:rRNA from 1 species